UACGGAGGGUGCAAGCGUUGUCCGGAUUUAUUGGGUUUAAAGGGUGCGUAGGCGGCCCUGUAAGUCAGUGGUGAAAUACUCUAGCUUAACUAGAGGGGUGCCAAUGAUACUGCAGGGCUUGAGUACAGAUGAGGUAGGCGGAAUUGACGGUGUAGCGGUGAAAUGCAUAGAUAUCGUCAAGAACACCGAUAGCGAAGGCAGCUUACUGGGCUGUAACUGACGCUGAUGCACGAAAGUGUGGGGAUCAAACAGG
rnacentral:rRNA from 1 species